rnacentral:tRNA from 1 species
AAUGAUGAGCCUGAUUAAAGGACUAUCGUGAUAGGAUAAAAUAUGUAGUACAAGCUUAAGCUACCUUCAUUA